rnacentral:rRNA from 1 species
AAUCCAUAGGUUAAUGAGGCGAACCGGGGGAACUGAAACAUCUAAGUACCCCGAGGAAAAGAAAUCAACCGAGAUUCCCCCAGUAGCGGCGAGCGAACGGGGAGGAGCCCAGAGCCUGAAUCAGCAUGUGUGUUAGUGGAAGCGUCUGGAAAGGCGCGCGAUACAGGGUGACAGCCCCGUACACAAAAGCGCAUGUGCUGUGAGCUCGAUGAGUAGGGCGGGACACGUGGUAUCCUGUCUGAAUAUGGGGGGACCAUCCUCCAAGGCUAAAUACUCCUGACUGACCGAUAGUGAACCAGUACCGUGAGGGAAAGGCGAAAAGAACCCCGGCGAGGGGAGUGAAAAAGAACCUGAAACCGUGUACGUACAAGCAGUGGGAGCCCCACCACCAAAGCAUUCUCUGGUGUUGAAGGCCCUGC